rnacentral:rRNA from 1 species
GAUGAACGCUGGCGGCGUGCCUAAUACAUGCAAGUCGAGCGAACAGACGAGGAGCUUGCUCCUCUGACGUUAGCGGCGGACGGGUGAGUAACACGUGGAUAACCUACCUAUAAGACUGGGAUAACUUCGGGAAACCGGAGCUAAUACCGGAUAAUAUAUUGAACCGCAUGGUUCAAUAGUGAAAGACGGUUUUGCUGUCACUUAUAGAUGGAUCCGCGCCGCAUUUGCUAGUUGGUAAGGUAACGGCUUACCAAGGCAACGAUGCGUAGCCGACCUGAGAGGGUGAUCGGCCACACUGGAACUGAGACACGGUCCAGACUCCUACGGGAGGCAGCAGUAGGGAAUCUUCCGCAAUGGUCGAAAGCUUGACGGAGCAACGCCGCGUGAGUGAUGAAGGUCUUCGGAUCGUAAAACUCUGUUAUUAGGGAAGAACAAAUGUGUAAGUAACUAUGCACGUCUUGACGGUACCUAAUCAGAAAGCCACGGCUAACUACGUG